UUGUAGAGUCUCGGGUUCAGCCGCCUUGCUGAUAUAUCUGGUCACUGCUUUCCUUCCCGGCUGCCCCUCUGGUCCUCGUCACUUCCUAUGCUGCUCCCGCUCCUUCUCUGAAAGAGGAAAAAAAACACCGGUAAGUAAUUUUAAAAAUAAACUGCUUUACCUUAGCUGCAGUCUUCCGGAUCCGUUUUGCUUCCGCUGCUGCUCGCACUCAAAAUGGCCGUUGGUGUCGAAGGGUGAGUAUUUAUACUCACUGCUUUCCUUCCCGGCUGCCCCUCUGGUCCUCGUCACUUCCUCUGGUGCUCCCGCUCCUUCUCUGAAAGAGGAAAAAAACACCGCUGCCCGCUUCCGUAAUAUGGACACACAUGCAAACAAUACUUUUGGGAGGGGAUGAAGCAAAUAUUGACAGCCAUUGCUAUGACUUCAACUGAUGAAAGGCUUUAGAUAAAUACAAAAAAGCAAGCUGAAGAUAUACCGCUGUCAAACUGGUCUGAGGCUCUGACUGAUGCUUGCCAUUGUUGUUGUCAGAAAGUAUCUGUUCAGUUGUGAUGAUCAGAUAUGCAAUUACAUAAUGCUUUUUGAAUCAUGGAAAUAAAAAUUGCUGGAAAGUA